UGGAAUUAGUUUCUUAGUGGCGGACGGGUGAGUAACGCGUGAGGAACCUGCCUCGGAGUGGGGAAUAACACAACGAAAGCUGUGCUAAUACCGCAUGAUGCAGCUGGGUCGCAUGACUCUGGCUGCCAAAGAUUUAUCGCUCUGAGAUGGCCUCGCGUCUGAUUAGCUGGUUGGCGGGGUAACGGCCCACCAAGGCGACGAUCAGUAGCCGGACUGAGAGGUUGGCCGGCCACAUUGGGACUGAGACACGGCCCAGACUCC
rnacentral:rRNA from 1 species